rnacentral:sRNA from 1 species
UAUGUAUAUAUACACAUAUAUAGACAAAACAAAAAACGCAUCAUAAUUGGUGAUACACAAAACAUGUGCGGUAUUGAGAUAAAACAGACCAAACAAAAAGAAUUUGAUGAGUGCGGUCUAAAAGUUAAAAUACACGAUGUGUGACUUGAAUGGUAACAAGUUAAAAAUACCGCAUGUAAAAACGCUAUAACGCGUCGCACAAUCACACCCUCAAUCAAAAUUUUUAACUUGUGCGGAAUUUGAUUCUUUGCUAUGGGCAAUGGAAUGCAUGAUCUCUAUUGGCGAUACUUCUGGCGCUUUUGCUUCCGAUUGUUCAGACCUGAUUUCUAUCAUUGACAACCAAGACGAUUGGCCGACAUUCGCAGCGGAAUUGGCAUCCUAUCGCUCUUUAGUUUGUUUUUUUCCUUUUUUUGUAUUAGAUUUCUUCCUCGUAGUUCUAAUACUCGAACAGAUUGUUUAGCUAAGAAAGUUCGGGCUCGUAAUAGCCUUUUCUUCCAUGUAAGCAUAUUGGUUCCUGAAUGGCUCUCUCUACCAGAAAGUAUCUUUCCGAUAACUUAAUAUAAAUGGUGUUUGAGGAAAAAAAAAUAUAAAAAAAUCACACCCUCAAUCUGUGUGCUUUAAUGGGUGGGGUGACAUCAGCCGCAUGAUUUCAGAGCUAAAGAUCUCUACAAUGUGAUGUGACAACAAACUACUUUACUUUAUUUUUCAUAACCAAUUUA